rnacentral:tRNA from 1 species
CUUCAUCAGAUGACUGAAAG